AAUGAAAAAAAAUGAAGUGAGAUAUUUGUGUUAACCGACAUUGCAUCUCCUAAUAUUGAUCCUUACCAUUUCAUCUUGACUCAUCUUCAAAAAUAUUGGUUCUCCAUUUUCCUGUUCGUUGGUUGCCCCUCGCCAAAUUCACCUAUCAAGCCACCACUUCUCCUCACAUCUAACAUCGACGAUCUUCACUCGAUCAUACUCCUUUGUUCGGUAAUUUCAGACUCCCUUCAUCAAUUAGUUGGAAUUGAAUAAAGAUCAAAACCCCCAAAUUGAGUAAACCCUAACUUAUUGAAUCUUCUCUCUCUUUUGGCUUUAUCUGGUGUCAUCGGUGCUUUCACUUGACAGAGGCGCCGUCCUUAUUCGUCGGCGCUACUAAUACUUUCGGAGGUGAUACCUUCUUUGUUGGUGUUGAUUUUUGUGUUCUUGUUCCUUUUCUCUUCUGCUCGUUGCUAUCCCGAGAUUGGUACAAUUGUGUGAAAUUGGCAGAAGAUUUGUGGGUUGAGACAGCAAUGGGUGGAUCCCUUAUUUAUGAGGAUAGCAAAUAGUGUUCUUGUAAUACGCAUACAAGAACACUAGCCCAGGAAGAUACUUGAAGAUGAAUAUUUUCUUUCGCGACUGCAAAUCCGGGAGAAGAGGUUAGCUAAAGGUGGAAUUCUCUUAGCUGCUACACUUAAUUUCGUAGUGGAGAAUCACAAACAGAAGACAAACAUCUCUAGUUUAGAAAGAGUAUGAUAACUUCCAUCAGGAAAAUAGGUACGAAGAAGAUCAUGGGAUGCCUUAGAGUGAGGAUAGCACCAUCAAAUUCACGAUCGAUGUUUAGUAAAGAUAACUAUGUCAUUAGUAAUAAAGGGAUGUAUUAAUUAAGCUCUAAGUUUGAUUUUAUGAUUUGAGUUAGAUUUUAAUAUUUAUAUUUAAUCAAUGUUAGGAAUAUUUAUUAAAGUUCAUUUAGAUUUCGAUGUAAAUAUUUAAGAAUUAAUCGAAGUGAAGUAUAAUUAAUGUUA